UUUUUGGAUUUAACCUUGUCAGAACUUCCGUGGCUUCGAGUCUGCACACUCACUCGAUGUCAUUUGGUUAAGCAGGUCCAACGUAAGCAAGUAAACUGGAGCUUCCUUUGUGAACACUGAAGUUGCGGAUAGGAGGGGGGAAAAAUCAUUCCAAGCCAAACAGAAAAUCAUCCAGGCCUUUGUCACAUGGAGAUUGAACUAUUGCCAGUGGAACUGCUCAGCUACUCCUCAGGUUCAAGAUCCUAGAUGAAGCUUGGAACGUCCUCCUCCUGCUCUCCCUGCUAGUUCUCAAAGCUUAGGUGAGGUCAAGGUCCCUAAAAGAUUAAGUAGAAAGGACUUGUACAUAACUCCAGCUGAAAUCGAUGGGCAUUUUGCCAGGGUGGAGACUUCAUGAUUGGACCUGAACUAUUUCACCUUGGCAAGAGUGGGUUUUUUCACCCUGAUGAUGGAUGACUCCAGAGUGGGGAAAAGACGGUGCCCCUCUCUUCGCAGGCUCAUGUCGCAGCUCCCCCAUAAUGACCCUUCCUUGAAGAGAGCCCAGCGCUGGAGGAAUGGAAGGUGGACCAGUGAGGAUGCUAGGUAUUUCCUCCUGAGCGAAGAGAGACUCUUCUUCCUGUAAUCUCCUUUUCUCCCCGUCUGAGGAGAUAUUAGCUAAGACUCACAGAUGGGAUCAUUUACAGUUUCCUUUUGAGCAGCCUCGGCCCUUUCAGAUUUUGUUUAUUCAGAUGAGGUUUUCAAACAAGCGAGGGCCGAGCAGUGAAGGCCUCUCCUCAGAUAUUCUGAUUUGGAUUAUUGGUGCUGUAGGUCCUGAGGCUGAUCUGACACAAAACGAUUGAUGGUCAGAUUGCCGUGUGCGCUAGCUGUAAACUUGGCAGGAUUGGAAAAUUUUGACAUGAGAGGCUGUUUUCUUUGCUAGGCCUUAAAUCCCUGUUCUCAGAGUAAUCCAGAGAAUGGAAUCCUGUGGUCAAUGCUAAUCAACACAAGGAAAAGCCAUUCAAAAUGGAAGGCAGCUUGCCUUGUUCACAGUCAAAUGUCUGGAGGGUGGUUGCUUCAGAGUUUUGUUUUUUUAAGAAAACACAAAGCCCAAGUCAAAAUUCGCUUCAAAAGAAAACAGAUUUUAGAGACAUCAGAGCGGCCUGCAGCACGGAAACAUUUGCCAUUUCUGUAAGUGGUCCCCUACCCAUAAUGAAUCUAUGAACAGAGCUAACAGCAAACAACAGAGUGUCAUAGUCAUUCCUAUGGGCAAAAUUAUGGGUAAUUCUCCUAGCAGCCAUGGGCUAAAUAAGUACUUUAGACCAGAAUAAAAUUGUCUGGUACAUUUCUCCCUCUAGUUCUGGGAGCACUACAGAUAGGCCAGAAUCAUACAACUGUCACUCCCAGCAAUAAGCAUUUACCUGUACACGGAGUCCUGUAAGGAUGAGGCCUUUUCUUGUAGCCACAUGGUCAGGCCUAAGGCCUUUGUCUGCAGCCAGAUUAGGAGAGCAGCAGCCAUUAGCCAAGAAGCAGGAAGUCACAUCCUCACAUUCCAUCUAGAUCACAUUAAAACUAUGUAACAUCCGGCUGCUAAGGAGACCCCGUCCUAAUGGCCCCCACUAUCACCAGAUAAAGAAACAGAUCUCAAGAUGGUUAAAGAAAACUUAGUUUGACAACAUCUGUCUGACAAGGAAUCACUUACCAAUAGUUGUGGUUGUGACAUCCACAUUUCCUUAUUGUUUUGUCAUUAUGGUGCCCACUUCCCAUUUGUUUGUAUGAUCCCUGGUUCUUCGAUUGUUUGUCUGUUACAUCAUUCAUCUUGCUGGGUGUAAAUUAAUUAAGGUGGUGGGGUAGGAUUAGUUGGAGAAUUUUGUUGCAGUGUUAGAUUGGUUAGUAAUAUUUUGGUAAAAUGAUUGGUUAAUGUACAGCUAAGCAAGACUCAAGUUUCACUCUAUAAAUUGGGGUCCAAAUUUAAGGAAGUUCUUUGGAACCAACUCCAGGCCCCAGCCCCAAGAUCAGAGCUGCCAGACCUCAGCACUCUGCCAAUGACACUGUGCAGAAACUGGAGUCCUCCAGAUGAUCUGAUCCUGACUGGCCAGCAGGAAAAGUUCAUCUGCCUUAUUGGGAGUGGUGAGCCUUGGUUGUGUAGUGUGUGCAUUCUGUUUGGGUGAUUGUUAAUAAAUAGAGGUUAUUUACUGCAUAAGGCUCUGUGGAAGAAACAAACUCCACUCUCAGGUUGGAAGCAACAAAAUCAGAGACAGCUUUAUUCAGGACAUGCAAUUGCAAGGGAAGAACACAGCUGACAGAGAGCAUC